GAUGAACGCUGGCGGCAUGCUUUACACAUGCAAGUCGAACGGUAACAGGUUAAGCUGACGAGUGGCGAACGGGUGAGUAAUGCAUCGGAACGUGCCCGAUCGUGGGGGAUAACGCAGCGAAAGCUGCGCUAAUACCGCAUACGAUCUGAGGAUGAAAGCGGGGGACCGUAAGGCCUCGCGCGAUCGGAGCGGCCGAUGUCAGAUUAGGUAGCUGGUGGGGUAAAGGCCCACCAAGCCGACGAUCUGUAGCUGGUCUGAGAGGACGACCAGCCACACUGGGACUGAGACACGGCCCAGACUCCUACGGGAGGCAGCAGUGGGGAAUUUUGGACAAUGGGCGAAAGCCUGAUCCAGCAAUGCCGCGUGCAGGAAGAAGGCUUUCGGGUUGUAAACUGCUUUUGUACGGAGCGAAAAGGUCCUUUCUAAUACAAGGGGCUCAUGACGGUACCGUAAGAAUAAGCACCGGCUAACUACGUGCCAGCCGCCGCCGUAA
rnacentral:rRNA from 1 species